UACGGAGGAUCCGAGCGUUAUCCGGAUUUAUUGGGUUUAAAGGGUGCGUAGGCGGGAUUGUAAGUCAGUGGUGAAAGCCUGCAGCUUAACUGCAGAAUUGCCAUUGAUACUGCUAUUCUUGAGUAUAGUUGAUGUGGGCGGAAUGUGUGGUGUAGCGGUGAAAUGCAUAGAUAUUACACAGAACUCCGAUAGCGAAGGCAGCUCACAAAACUAUAACUGACGCUGAGGCACGAAAGCGUGGGGAGCAAACAGGAUUAGAUA
rnacentral:rRNA from 1 species